CUACACCAGUAGGCUGGCUGAUCUGGCUAGGUGGUGUGGUAAAGACCUUGUAGGCACGGUCCACUGCAUUCGUAGGCGGGGCUGGAGGACUGGGUGUGUCGGGUAUGCUGGGGAUCUGGUAGAGGUUCCCCGGCCUAUCAGAGUCACUGUCAUGGACUGCUGCCUGGGUCACACUACCAGCACCAGGACCUCGCCCUGUGGUGGAGAGAAGAGAAGUAAGGAGGGAGAGGAGAGGAGAUGAGAACUUAAAUAGUUACAGGGAAAUGUAUCUUAUACUUCCAAAACACACACACCAGACACACACAGACACCACACUAGGGUUGAAUGGCGGAACCCGGUUACCGAGAUUACCGCCCAAAACCACUCGCUUAUCCUGGGAUAACUAAUGCUGAGAAACUGCGUAAAUACUUAUAUGAACAGUGUGGGUGAAAGUAACUGUUAAAUUAUAUGCGACCUCUGCAUGCAUGAAUCAUCACCGUUCAGGGUGAGUACAGACAGCCCAUCUCAGGGUGAGUACAGACAGACCAUCUCAGGAUGAGUACAGACAGACCAUCUCAGGGGGGGACAGAAGGAGACAUCUCAGGGUGGGACAGACCAGACCAUCUCAGGGUGGGGGACAGACAGCCCAUCUCAGGGUGAGUACAGACAGACAUCUCAGGGUGGGACAGACAGCCCAUCUCAGGGUGGUACAGACAGACCAUCAGGGUGGGGACAGACAGACCAUCUCAGGGUGAGUACAGACAGACCAUUCUCAGAGUGGGGACAGCCAUCUCAGGGUGGGGACAGACCUUCUCAGGGUGAGUACAGACAGACCAUCUCAAGGAUGAGUACAGACAGCCCAUCUCAGGAUGAGUACAGACAGCCCAUCUCCAGGGUGAGUACAGACGCCCAUCUCAGGGUGGGGACAGACAGCCCAUCUCAGGGUGAGUACAGACAGCCCAUUCAGGGUGAGUUACAGACAGCCCAUCUCAGGGUGUGGGACAGACAGCCCAAUCUCAGGGUG
rnacentral:lncRNA from 1 species